rnacentral:rRNA from 1 species
GAGCGGCGCACGGGUGAGUAACGCGUAUCCAACCUUCCCUUUAGUAGAGGAUAGCCCGGCGAAAGUCGGAUUAAUACUCUAUGUUGUAUUUAGAAGACAUCUGAAGAAUACCAAAGGUUUACCGCUAAAGGAUGGGGAUGCGUCUGAUUAGGUUGUUGGCGGGGUAACGGCCCACCAAGCCGACGAUCAGUAGGGGUUCUGAGAGGAAGGUCCCCCACAUUGGAACUGAGACACGGUCCAAACUCCUACGGGAGGCAGCAGUGAGGAAUAUUGGUCAAUGGACGAAAGUCUGAACCAGCCAAGUAGCGUGCAGGAUGACGGCCCUAUGGGUUGUAAACUGCUUUUAUAUAGGGAUAAAGUCGGGGACGUGUCCCCGUUUGUAGGUACUAUAUGAAUAAGGACCGGCUAAUUCCGUGCCAGCAGCCGCGGUAAUACGGAAGGUCCAGGCGUUAUCCGGAUUUAUUGGGUUUAAAGGGAGCGCAGGCUGAUGAUUAAGCGUGACGUGAAAUGUAGCCGCUCAACGGCUGAACUGCGUCGCGAACUGGUUAUCUUGAGUGAGUUCGAUGUUGGCGGAAUUCGUGGUGUAGCGGUGAAAUGCUU